rnacentral:rRNA from 1 species
GAACUGAAGAGUUUGAUCAUGGCUCAGAUUGAACGCUGGCGGCAGGCCUAACACAUGCAAGUCGAGCGGAUGAAGGGAGCUUGCUCCUGGAUUCAGCGGCGGACGGGUGAGUAAUGCCUAGGAAUCUGCCUGGUAGUGGGGAUAACGUCCGGAAACGGGCGCUAAUACCGCAUACGUCCUGAGGGAGAAAGUGGGGGAUCUUCGGACCUCACGCUAUCAGAUGAGCCUAGGUCGGAUUAGCUAGUUGGUGGGGUAAAGGCCUACCAAGGCGACGAUCCGUAACUGGUCUGAGAGGAUGAUCAGUCACACUGGAACUGAGACACGGUCCAGACUCCUACGGGAGGCAGCAGUGGGGAAUAUUGGACAAUGGGCGAAAGCCUGAUCCAGCCAUGCCGCGUGUGUGAAGAAGGUCUUCGGAUUGUAAAGCACUUUAAGUUGGGAGGAAGGGCAGUAAGUUAAUACCUUGCUGUUUUGACGUUACCAACAGAAUAAGCACCGGCUAACUUCGUGCCAGCAGCCGCGGUAAUACGAAGGGUGCAAGCGUUAAUCGGAAUUACUGGGCGUAAAGCGCGCGUAGGUGGUUCAGCAAGUUGGAUGUGAAAUCCCCGGCUCAACCUGGGAACUGCAUCCAAAACUACUGAGCUAGAGUACGGUAGAGGGUGGUGGAAUUUCCUGUGUAGCGGUGAAAUGCGUAGAUAUAGGAAGGAACACCAGUGGCGAAGGCGACCACCUGGACUGAUACUGACACUGAGGUGCGAAAGCGUGGGAGCAAACAGGAUUAGAUACCCUGGUAGUCCACGCCGUAAACGAUGUCGACUAGCCGUUGGGAUCCUUGAGAUCUUAGUGGCGCAGCUAACGCGAUAAGUCGACCGCCUGGGGAGUACGGCCGCAAGGUUAAAACUCAAAUGAAUUGACGGGGGCCCGCACAAGCGGUGGAGCAUGUGGUUUAAUUCGAAGCAACGCGAAGAACCUUACCUGGCCUUGACAUGCUGAGAACUUUCCAGAGAUGGAUUGGUGCCUUCGGGAACUCAGACACAGGUGCUGCAUGGCUGUCGUCAGCUCGUGUCGUGAGAUGUUGGGUUAAGUCCCGUAACGAGCGCAACCCUUGUCCUUAGUUACCAGCACCUCGGGUGGGCACUCUAAGGAGACUGCCGGUGACAAACCGGAGGAAGGUGGGAUGACGUCAAGUCAUCAUGGCCCUUACGGCCAGGGCUACACACGUGCUACAAUGGUCGGUACAAAGGGUUGCCAAGCCGCGAGGUGGAGCUAAUCCCAUAAAACCGAUCGUAGUCCGGAUCGCAGUCUGCAACUCGACUGCGUGAAGUCGGAAUCGCUAGUAAUCGUGAAUCAGAAUGUCACGGUGAAUACGUUCCCGGGCCUUGUACACACCGCCCGUCACACCAUGGGAGUGGGUUGCUCCAGAAGUAGCUAGUCUAACCGCAAGGGGACGGUUACCACGGAGUGAUUCAUGACUGGGGUGAAGUCGUAACAAGGUAGCCGUAGGGGAACCUGCGGCUGGAUCACCUCCUUAAUCGAAGAUCCCGG